rnacentral:rRNA from 1 species
UAGUCCACGCCGUAAACGAUGAUUACUGGUUGUGCGCGAUACACAGUGCGCGACUGAGGGAAACCAUUAAGUAAUCCACCUGGGGAGUACGUUCGCAAGAAUGAAACUCAAAGGAAUUGACGGGGGGCCCGCACAAGCGGAGGAACAUGUGGUUUAAUUCGAUGAUACGCGAGGAACCUUACCUGGGCUUAAAUGUAGAGUGCAUUAUUUGGAAACAGAUAUUUUCUUCGGAACUCUUUACAAGGUGCUGCAUGGUUGUCGUCAGCUCGUGCCGUGAGGUGUCGGGUUAAGUCCCAUAACGAGCGCAACCCCUAUCUUCAGUUGCCAGCACAUAAUGGUGGGGACUCUGAAGNGACUGCCUACGCAAGUAGAGAGGAAGGCGGGGACGACGUCAAAUCAUCAUGGCCUUUA